rnacentral:rRNA from 1 species
CGUGAGAUGUUGGGUUAAGUCCCGCAACGAGCGCAACCCUUACUGUUAGUUGCUACGCAAGAGCACUCUAGCAGGACUGCCGUUGACAAAACGGAGGAAGGUGGGGAUGACGUCAAAUCAUCAUGCCCCUUAUGACCUGGGCCUCACACGUACUACAAUGGCUGUCAACAGAGGGAUGCAAAGCCGCGAGGUGGAGCGAACCCCUAAAAGCAGUCUUAGUUCGGAUUGUAGGCUGCAACCCGCCUACA